rnacentral:rRNA from 1 species
UGGGGAAUAUUGCACAAUGGGGGAAACCCUGAUGCAGCGACGCCGCGUGAGCGAUGAAGGCUUUCGAGUCGUAAAGCUCUGUCCUAUGGGAAGAUAAUGACGGUACCAUAGAAGAAAGCCCCGGCUAAUUACGUGCCAGCAGCCGCGGUAAUACGUAAGGGGCGAGCGUUGUCCGGAAUUAUUGGGCGUAAAGAGUGCGUAGGCGGCAAAUUAAGUCAGAUGUGAAAACUAAGGGCUCAACCCAUAGAUUGCAUCUGAAACUGAUAUGCUGGAGUCAAGGAGAGGAAAGUGGAAUUCCUAGUGUAGCGGUGGAAUGCGUAGAUAUUAGGAGGAAUACCGGUGGCGAAGGCGACUUUCUGGACUUGAACUGACGCUGAGGCACGAAAGCGUGGGGAGCAAACAGG